rnacentral:rRNA from 1 species
UACGUAGGGUGCAAGCGUUGUCCGGAAUUAUUGGGCGUAAAGAGCUCGUAGGCGGCUCGUCACGUCGGCUGUGAAAACCCGGGGCUCAACCCCGGGCCUGCAGUCGAUACGGGCGAGCUAGAGUUCGGCAGGGGAGACUGGAAUUCCUGGUGUAGCGGUGAAAUGCGCAGAUAUCAGGAGGAACACCGGUGGCGAAGGCGGGUCUUUGGGCCGAUACUGACGCUGAGGAGCGAAAGCGUGGGGAGCGAACAGG